ACCGCUCCGCUGUCCCCAACCUUGGGCCAUGGCGAAGAGGCGGAGCGAACCGGCGAGUCGCCGCCUUCCACCGUGCACGGUGCACCCCUCCCCCGUCAGCAGGAACAAAAGUUAUCUUCCGGUUCUGACCGCUCGGCAUGGAUUCUCGGGGAUUUUUUUUCCUUCGUUUUUUGCAGAGUUUCUUUUAAUCCCCACGGCUAGGUCUCGCGACCCAUUCUGGAUCGUCUUGGUGUAGGUGAAAGCGGUAUUUCAGUUGGUGCUUGAUGCUGGGGAGUUUAUCCUCUGGGAACUUGGCGGGAACGCUGUAAAUUGCAAGUACUCUACAUUUUACUUAGAGGUGACAGAUAAUUUGGUUUUAGGUUGUGGCAGGAACAUCCAUAUUUGGUCUGCUGGCCAAUUUUAAAGUGUGUCUGCUCUUGCUGCCAUAAGACUUUUGCCCUCCAAAACUGCUUGAUGAAAGCCUGAUCCACUUCUGCAUACCGUUAUUUGUUAAGAGUAUGUUGGCUUUGCUUCUAGGCUUCGUUUACUGGGGGUUCCAUUUUCACCUUGCUCUUGGCUCCAGCUUUUCAGACAAGUUGCAGGUGGUGAAAACAACCCGACUUCUGACUCCAGAGGGAUUGAAUUAGGAUCGAUAUUUAACACAUUCUCUAAUGCUGUCGCGCUCUUGUUGGUGCUUCAACUACUCCAAGAGUUAGCACUGGAUCAGUUAGUCAAUGAAUAAGGUAGUAUCAUAUGAAGAGCUCUGCAUCUGGAUAAUGGAUCCAUUUGUCCAUGAGGUCAGGGAAUGCUAGUGGCAAUUAUAUAAAACCGAGGUUAGAGUUUACGUCUCGAGAACGCUUGGAGUGCCGGUGGUUACUUGGAGCCAAAACUAAUGACUCUAGCUUCCCCAUGCCGUAGAAUGAAUAUAGAGCCAGAGAUUCAACAAAGCCGGGCACCGGUCAAGGCUGUUUACUGAGACGCGGCAUAUACGAUUUUUCUCUCUGGAUAUUCAAAGGAUAUCCCUUUGUUUAGUCAUAGUAGUGUGGUUACUGUACGGUCCCUGGGUUCAACUGACUGGUUGCAAAUCCAAACAAUAGGAAAGGGCUGGAUCAAGCAGUUUAUUGUUAAUAAUAUAAUACCCAGUAAUUUGCGGUGUCUGUUUUCUCCUUACUGAUACUUGAUCCCAUACUUUGGUGUUCUUCAGUCCUCUGAGUGAGUCAAAGAAUACCUGGAAUCGUUAACCUUGCCCUGAUUGCAGGAUCAAAGGAAGUUAUCGACUGGUUCUGGAGUUAUAGUUCUGCAAAAAUGUCCCUAGCAAGCAUCAAAUGGUAUUGGCUGGAGAAAAAACAUCAGUUGACAGUGAAAAUGGGUGCGAUUUGGCAGCCUUGGAAGGUUGGCCUAAGGAGGAGUUAGCUGCGACUGUGGAGGGAAGCUGGCGUGUGUGACAUCAUGCCAUCAUGGUCGACUUGGAGCUGGAGGCGGGGCCAAUGGCGUGGCGUCAUGGCAAUAAUGCAUUACAUUGAGCUACAGGCUGCAUCGCCGUCAUCUCUAUGCCUGCAGCGACGAUCGACGAGACGGAUACAACCGGCGACAAGAAGACGGAAAGCCUAGAUUGCCCAAGUUUUGCUCGGUUACCCAGGCGAGAUGUUCGCAGCGGCAAAGGACAGCUCCGUAGCUGCAGGUGAGACCAGGAAAGACUGCAGAAGCAGAGCGAGGCGCUGGACGAAAUCACUGACAUGUCAAGGAAUGUUAACCCCUUGCACCAUCAUCACGUCGGCCUCAUCUCCAAUCCCGGACGCUCUUAUCUAUUCCUAAAUCCAGAUGAAGCAGAGAGCUUCACUGAAUAGAAAGUUAUGGUCUUCUUUUGAUUAUUACACUGAGAUGUGUGUUUAAA